ensembl:lncRNA
AUGUGGAAGAAAAAUUCUGCAAAAUAUUACAGAAAAAAAAAGCAAGAGCAAGCACUUCUAGAUCUAUCCCCAGCAUCUUCAUUUUCUGAGACAGAAAAUUCCUUUGGAAAUGAAGAAAAUAACAGACAGGAACAAGACACAAAUAAUGAAAGUCUGAACAGAACACCAGCAAAAGAAAGUUUAGACCUGAAAGGGCCAAUUGAGGCAUCAACCCCACAGAGAACACGGCCAGUCAUUAAAAAAAGAGAGCGGGCAUCAAGGACUGUGGCCAAAUUAAGAGCAAAACUAAGGUAUGUUGAAGAGAAACUUAGGGCAAAGAAAACACAACUGCUGACACUAAACAGAAAAAUUAGAAGGCUGGCGGCUAAUAGAACAAAAAGUGCAAUGCUACCAGCAAAUAUUUCACAGAGGGUCAGUAUCAGAGAGGCUAAAAAGGGACUGAUGAUCAAUAGCAGGCGCAAACAACUUGACAAGAUUGUGAGCAUGUUCCUACAUCGGGAUGAUGUCUCAACUAUCAUAAAUGGCAAGUCUGGAGAGAUUCGUCGCAAGGGACAAAUUUAUAGAAAAAGAGCACUCACAGACACCAUGGCAAAACUCCAUCAACGCUUCCUUGUUGAACAUCCUGAGCAAACAGUGUCCAAAGCUCAGUUCUUUAGAUUGAGGCCAUUUUGGAUUAUUAGGCCUAAAGUUAAAGACAGAGAGACGUGUGCAUGUAAAAUGCACGAGAACAUUGGCUUUAAAUUAAAAAGAAUGCAACAACUGGGUAUCAUUGAAACAUCAAGCCCAGAGGAUCUUGUGCAGUCCAGUGUGUGUGACACUGGCAACAUGUCCUGCAUGUACGGCAGAUGUCAAAAAUGCAUUGAAAAGACCUUUCCCACAUCCUUAGAUCCUCUCACUCAGGGGAACACGGUCAUCUGGCAAGAGUGGGUCACAAGGUCUGUCACUGUAACAAAGACCCUCAAGGAUGGAUCUACAGAAGAAAGGCAGACAAAGAAAACGGUCCUCGAAAAACGUACCUCAUCCAUUGAGCGGUUGCUGGCCCUAACAACAGAACACCUUCCAGGUUUUGCCAUUCACAUGUUUAAUGUCAAGAACCAAUAUUUGUCAUUGAAAGCAAUGAAAGAUACCCUGACAGAUGAUGCUGUUGCUGUGCAUGUAGAUUACAGCGAAAAUUACAGCUGCAAAUAUGCCAAAGAAAUCAAGGACACCCAUUUUGGAACUGGGAAUGAUCAGGUAACCCUCCACACCGGGGUACUCUAUCUCAGUAGGGGCAGAGUGGAAGCCUUUGCAUCCCUCUCAUCAUCUCUACAGCACGAUGCAGUGGCAACCUGGGCUCAUCUUGACCCAGUGCUGAGAUACAUACGAGGAAAGUAUCCUGAAGUCCACAACCUACAUUUCAUUUCAGAUGGCCCAACUUCCCAGUAUAGAAACAAAACAUCUUUCUAUCUAGCCUCCACUGUGCCCUUUAUGCAUGGAUUUGAAUGGGUGACCUGGAACUAUACUGAGGCAUCACAUGGCAAAGGUGCACCAGAUGGAGUUGGUGGGGCCUUGAAGAAUCUUGCGGACAGAAUUGUUUCUUAUGGGACCAGUAUUCCUGAUGCAGACUCUCUGUAUGAGCAGCUGAAGAACAAUUCAUCAGUGACUCUGUACAAAGUAUCAGAGGAGAAAAUAAAGGCCAGCCGCGAAUUGGUUCCCCCCAACCUGAAAGCAGUUCCUGGGACACUGAAAAUACACCAACUGACAUCCACAAAACCAGGAGUCAUAAAUACACGGGAGGUGUCAUGCUUUUGUGGAAAAAAUUGCCAGUGCUUUUCUACAAAUUGCCACAUGUUCUCUGAGGAAAGAGAUGAGGACCCUGACAGAACAGAGGCCACCAUAGAGGUUGGACAGUGGGUCCUGGUUGAAUACGAUGGUGACUUGUUCCCUGGUACAGUCACACAGAUUGCUGAAGGGCAGUAUGAAGUCGACACCAUGAAUUGUGCAGGGGAGAACCGCUUCUAUGUACCAAGCAUCAGAUUUCCAGGAGAAAGGGUCUGGUACUAUCGUCAGGACAUACGGGACAUAAUCCCAGAACCACUUCCUGUCACCUCCUCUGCUAGACAUUUCUGCAUUUUACCUGACAUAUGGGCAAAACACAAGAAAUGCUCAUGAAUGAGUUACAGUUUAGGGAAAAGGUGAUUGGUACAGAGCAGUCAUUCCAGUUGUUUGUUCUAGUUGUUUGACCAACUCAAAUCGAGUUGCUGCUAUUCAAGUUCUUCACAUUAAAUUAUUCUCAGAAAAAGUUUGUGUGGUUCAAUGUCAGGACCAAAUUGUUUUAGCUAAACUAAAUUCUUUUUACAAGAGCACAUGAUGCUGUUAAAUUUAAAUGUUUCUCAGGACCACAUGAUGAUAUGUUACAUUGAAAUAGUUCUCAUCACAGGGUUGUAUGUUUAACUAGAAUGAUAAAAUGUAUACUAAUGGUUGUAUAAUUGUUAGUACUACAGUGUAGGCUACAUGACAUGAUUCUUAAGAAGAGCACAAGAUUGUAACUUGUUAACACAAGUCAUGGUAUUGUGAUGAUUACAAUAAAUGAGAAAAUGAAACACUGUUUAUGAAAUAAAUGUUCUUUUAAAAAUUGUAUGAGUUUUAAAUAUGUAAUAUAGGGUUAGGCAUCAAACCCCUUUGUCAACAGUCAAUGUUUGAGCUAAAUAUCAUUUCCGAAACAUUGAUCCUCAUUACCGAAAUGACAUUUUCAUUACCGCAACAUGUAUAUUUUUUACAAAUUAAGCAAUAAUUAGAUCAUCAUAAUUUGUUUUAAAAUGCAUAUACAUAUUAUACAACACUGCUUAUUUAAAGUCUGCUACAUGACAAAUGUGUAUGGUAUCUUUUAGUAAAAUAAUUAAAUAAAAGAAAUUGUAAGUCAUCGCGCAUGUUUCGGUAAUGAGAGAAAAUAAGGAAAUUACAAAAAAUAAUAAAUAUGAAAAAGUAAUAUUUCCAGAGUUUAACAUAGCUUUGAGCAUGAGUAAUAAGGGUCUACUUUAACAUUAGCCAAAAAUACACAUUUUUAACCAUAUAUUUAAUGUAAUGUCAUGUUGCGGUAAUGAUAAUUUUUUAUGGACUUCAUCUAAAAAAUAAAAAAAUUAUAUAGGAAAUAUUUUUUUAAAUCUUCUAAAAAUAAUGGUUAUAGUAAGUUCAGACCUCAAUCUUAUAUGUGCAAAAAGAAAAUUGGCUUCAAGGGCAUUUUAAAAAUUCUGAUGCUAGACACCUGCUAUAUCUGGAUUUCAUGAGAAUCACCCGUGUGUUUCAGGGUUUAUUAAACAUUUCAGUUCCAAUAAUGGCCACAGAUCUGCGAUUAGAACGGUAAAAGCUUUUAAUGUAGUCAGCUGUUGUAUUGAGUCACGUCAUCAUCCUACACUGAUCAAAGCAUAUAUACCCCUCUGUAUUAGCAUAAAAAAAACAUAUGUUCAUGUGAACUGCAUCCUUGAAAUAUAUGGCACCGUAUUAAGCAGUAUAGAGUAUCUGUGCUCACGAAAUGUUCUGAAAAGUAUGCGAAUUUGACAAUUCUGCAUUUUAUUUACUUCAUGGUGAUAAGUAUGUGAUAUAGACAUGUCUGUUUCUCCCCAUGAACUGAUUUUGGACAGGCUUCUGAAGCAGAGUAAUGGUCUAUAGCUGAUCUACAGCUAAAUAUAGAAGCGUUGGUUAUAACCAUUGGAUAUUCCAUACUACGUACAUUUAAUAAUAAUAAAAUAUGACACUGACCGCAAGGGAAAGAGGAGAACGAGGAGGAUGAUGAGAAGAAUGAGGAGGAGGAUGAGAAGGAGAAUAAAAAUGAAGAGGAGGAUGAAAAGAAGGAUGAGGAUAAUAAGAAUGAGGAAGAGGCUGAGAAGGGUAUGGAGAUGGAAAAUGAGGAGGAGGAUAAGAAGGAUGAGGAUGAGAAGGAUGAGGAGGAGGAUGAAAAGAAUGAUAAGGAUGAGAAGAAGUAAAUGGAGAAGGAGAUUGAGGAUGAGGAGAGGGAGGAAGAACUUAAAUGGAGAUGCAGAAGGUAAAGUUGAUUGAAAAAAACCCAUAAGGAACCAUGCAGCCAAAGAUAAAUUGUUUUCAAUAAACUCAAGUAAACUUGCCAAAGUGGUCCCUGUCUGUAAUAUAUAUAUUGUUAUAGUUUAACAAAAUUAUUAAGCACCCACUGAGAAACCUGAUGAAAGUGUGACCUCAGACCUUGUCUGAGUUCUCCUUGCCUUGUCAGAGGAGAACUGGCCCCCCAACUGAGCCUGGUUUCUCCCAAUAUUUUUCUCUAUUCUGUCACCAAUGGAGUUUUGGUUCCUUGCCGCUGUUGCUUCUGGCUUGCUUAGUUGGGGUCACUUCAUUUACAGUGAAAUUAUUGACUUGAUUGCAAAUUGCAAAAAAGACACUAUUUAAACUAACUUGAGAUGACAUCACUGAAUUCAAUGAUGAAUGCCUUCAACUGUUAUUUUGCAUUAUUGAAACACUGUUUUCCUAAUUAAUGUUGUUCAGUUGCUUUGAUGCAAUGUAUUUUGUAUAUAUAAAUAAAGGUGACUUGACUUGACUUACGGUACAGGUGCUGAGAGCAGUCAAAUGCAUUUAAAGAAGCUGUCAUACACACA